rnacentral:rRNA from 1 species
UAUGAAGGUCAGGCUGAAGACCUUACCCGAUUAGCUGAGAGGUGGUGCAUGGCCGUCGUCAGUUCGUACUGUGAAGCAUCCUGUUAAGUCAGGCAACGAGCGAGACCCACGUCCACAGUUGCCAGCAUACCCUCCGGGGUGAUGGGUACACUGUGGAGACCGCCGCUGCUAAAGCGGAGGAAGGAGUGGGCAACGGUAGGUCAGUAUGCCCCGAAUCUCCCGGGCUACACGCGGGCUACAAUGGUUGGUACAAUGGGCAUCUACCCCGAAAAGGGGAAGGAAAUCUCUUAAAGCCAAUCGUAGUUCGGAUUGAGGGCUGCAACUCGCCCUCAUGAAGCUGGAAUCCGUAGUAAUCGCGUUUCAACAGAACGCGGUGAAUACGUCCCUGCUCCUU